rnacentral:rRNA from 1 species
UACAGAGGUCUCAAGCGUUGUUCGGAUUCAUUGGGCGUAAAGGGUGUGUAGGUGGCGCGCUAAGUCGGGUGUGAAAUUUCGGAGCUUAACUCCGAAACUGCAUUCGAUACUGGCGUGCUUGAGGACUGGAGAGGAGACUGGAAUUCAUGGUGUAGCAGUGAAAUGCGUAGAGAUCAUGAGGAAGACCAGUGGCGAAGGCGGGUCUCUGGACAGUUCCCGAUGACACUGAGACACGAAGGCCAGGGGAGCAAACGGG